GGGCCUCAUCCUAAUCUGAUCAUUCACAGGACUGUUUCCCUGAAGGGUGCCUUCUGGGGUGCUGAGGGUUAGAUCCCAGUAUGCCAUUUUAGGGGUGAACAUAGUACCUUCUCUAGGGAAGCUUAGGCUGGUGUGGAGCAGAGUGUCGCCCCCAGGACACUUCAGUUUCUGACAAGGUCUUCUGUGAACACCUCUGAUUGGUGAAACCAGGUCACAUGCCCGCUCCUCGCUGUCUCACUAGCUAGGAAUUUUGUGUCUGACUCCUUCCUACCUUGAGGAGGCAUGGAAAGUACUGUGGGCUUUCCCCCAGAGCAGGAAGAGCAUUCCAACGACUCAUCCAAACAAGGCAUCAGAAAUCCACUGCACAAGGACUUGCAGGUUUCUUCCCAAAGAGUCCCUGAGCCGGAGUGGGAUGAGAAGACUGAGGACCAGGAGGACCAGGAACUUAACCUAACAGGUCACCUUAGGUCUGUUCUUGAAUCCAUCUGAGACGGGGUAGGCAAAGGAGUGAGAUGAAGCAGCUGUUGGGCAGACCCUAGGGCCUGCAAGCCUCUGAAGCUGGCCCCAGAGCUGCCACUUGGGGCCUCGGGAGACCCCAUACUUCCUCUCAGAGCAGCAUCUCCGUGGACAGAGCAGGCUGGCCCCGCAGCUGCAACAGGGAGCCUGCAAAACACCUUCAAACAAGUCAGAAGAGAGGACUAGCUGAGUCUCUGCCAUCCACAGCCUCAGCAGCACGGAAUCCUCAGCAGCACCAUCCAACCAGCAAGGUGGUGGUGAGAAGGCAGAGAGAAGCAGAAGGCUCCCAUGAAAACAAACCAGAGAACACAGGAACCCAGUAACCCGUGGCUGCUGGCAGCUACAGAUGGCUCUCGACGAGUGGCCUAAAAGCAGAAAGAAGGACUAAGGGGUACACUGUCUUGGUGGGGCUCCACAGAAAACAGAAGAUGUAUCCUGCAUGGAUGAUUAUGUAAGACUCUGGGAAGCCUUAGCUUGCCAGGGACCCCCUGAGUGAACCACAUGGAGCAAGAAUUGAUGCAAAAAGCAGAGGAAUUUAUUGUUCCAGUGCACUGGGAUCGUCCCAGACCCAAAGGAGGGGCAGUGACCACCAGCACUCGGUUGGUGAGUUUUUAUACGGUUUCCAGGGGCAGAAUAGAGCAUCAGCAACUAGGCACAAUAUGAUUGGUGGAACAGUGCACCCUUUAAACUGAUUGGUCUUUAGGGAAUGAGGUGACAAGGACUUGUCCCUUGUCUGAAGGUGAGCAACAGUCAGUCCUUCUGAAUGUGUCCCACCCACAGGUGGGUUCCCGCCCUGUGGUCUGAGAAAUGUUAGUUAGCCUUUCCCUUCCGGAGAGGCAAGUGUUUCAUGAUCUCCCCAAAGUUCCUAAGAUGACCUUUUCAUUCCCCUUUUCUUUGUGUAUGCUUCAGUCAUGAAGCUAUUGUGUACAGUUAUGCAGCUCAUAUCCGUGUUCCUCUGUACUUAGCUCUAGAAAUCUUUGUUUCAGGACCAUCAACUGUACCAUCACCUAUGUAAGCUUUAAUAAAAACAACUAAGAGAUUUAGAAUGUGAAGGCCAAAGGUCAGAAGCAGGAACAAAAUGAUCAGGGAUCCUAACCAUGCAGAAAUCAAGGUAGUAACCCAGGGGGAGCUGUUAAACCAAGACUCAAACCAGCUCUGUCUCUGUUCUCUCUUCUGCCUGGCUAACCCUUCUCUCACCUUGGCCAUUGAAUCUUUAACUAUCCCCAAAAUGGUCUCUAGUAUGUGCUUCCUGAUGUUUCACACCCUUAGGUAGCAUAGAAGAAAUGGUUGGCCCCCUAACACUGAUGGGCCUGCUGCUGGCUUCUCUCACCUCGGGGAUACACAUAUAUGCGGGUUUCUUGCAGGACACUUCAAUUUUGGUUGUCCGCACCCUAAGCCCCACCCUCCAAGGCCAAUUCUGGGACACAGUUUAGAUUUACAAGUCCCUCGUCCCCCACAUUCAGGCAAUCCCUCUCCCCGUGUCUCCAGGCAGUGACAUCCCAUAAGUCAAGGUCCACCACUUAAUUACAGAGAUCAAAGACAGGCUCCAGCCACCAGAUACAGUGCGGGUAGUGGACCAAGCCACAUCACCAGUGUCUGGGAGCACCUGCCAAGUCACCCUGGUAGGGUUGUGGGGGCUGCCGAGGCUCAGUGCCAGAAGAUACACCAUAGCCGUCUAGUAGUUUCUCUGUCUGGCCUUGCAGAAGGGGGUUGCUUGGGUGUCUGGCUGCUAUCUAGUCGUCAUCAGGCGCAGGUGCUGAUCUGAUGUGAACCCAGGCAGUUACUCCAUCCACUUUAAUGAAGGUUGGGGUAGUCAGCAACACCAGGAACGGUUCUUUGCUUCUGAGUGUUCAGCACAAUGUCUCUUAACAAAUACCCAAUCUCCAACUUGGUACUUGUGUGGAACCUCUGGGGUAUCUGCAUUAUACAGGGCACUAAGUUUAGGCCACAGUUCCAUGUGACUGAUCUGGAAAGCUUGCAAUCAAGCUAUAAGAUCCUUGUCAGCCUGAAAAGUCACCCUGGGGGGUCAAAAGCUGGUGUCAAGGGAGUGGGUGUCCCAUGCAGGAUCUCAAAAGGGGUUAGGGUUGCCGGGCGGUGAUGGCGCACACCUUUAAUCCCAGCACUUGGGAGGCAGA